CCCCUAGAUGUUCUGGGCCGCACGCGCGCUACACUGAACAGUUCAACAAGUCUUAACCUUGGCCGAUAGGUCUGGGUAAUCUUUGAACGCUGUUCGUGACUGGGAUAGACCUUUGCAAUUAUGGGUCUUCAACGAGGAAUUCCUAGUAAACGCAAGUCAUCAGCUUGCAUUGAUUACGUCCCUGCCCUUUGUAUACACCGCCCGUCGCACCUACCGAUUGAAUGGUCCGGUGAAAUCUCGGGACGGCGGCUUGGUCGCUUGCGUCCGACUGCUGAAACUUGAUUAAACCAUAUCAUUUAGAGGAAGGUGAAGUCGUAACA
rnacentral:rRNA from 1 species